UAAGUAGUCCCUCCGAUCCAAAUUACUUGUCGCUGAAAUAGAUGUAUCUAGAUGUAUUUCAGUGCUAGAUACAUUCCUUUGAGCGACAAGUAAUAUGGAUCGGAGGGAGUAUGUU
rfam:Triticum urartu cultivar G1812 contig50457, whole genome shotgun sequence.